CUUUCUUGUGCACGUGGCUUUUGCUUUACCUGAUAAACUGCCUUUAUCUAAAUGCACGUGUUUUCUUACUUUUAUUCACUCCCCAGUGCAGCAGGGUAAAGUGAGACAGAGGCUGUGUGGGGCUCAGUUACCAUCUGGGGUUUAACCAUCAGAGUGUUUAAAGUAUUUUCCAGCAUUACGAGAAUUAGGAGAGCAGGAGUUGCUGAUACUCAUGUGAAAAUGUUAACAUCCUGAUGAUAACAGCUCUGCCAAAGCCAUUCACCAUAUUUUGCCUAAGUCUGGCAAGAAUGGGGGAACUGAAAAGCAAAUUGCUAAUCUUAGUGAGGGGAACAGGUUUUUUUGGUUACCCAAAGAAGAAUUCCUGCCCUGGAAGUGUAUUCAUUCUAAUGACUUCUAAUCAUCCAAUUUAAAAAUCAUACAAGAAUGGGAAGCUGUACCCUGAAGGAUGUAAGCAGAUGCUGUUGCCCUGGUGAUUGCUCGUUGGAGUCUGGAUUGCACUGGGCCUGCAUUCCUGACUUCUCCUUAGGCCCUUGCAUUUCUGUAGACAGCUCAUAUGGACAAAGGCCACAAAUUAAAUGCAAAGAAAUGAAACAGCAAGUAUAGAGCAUGAAUGUGAUGUGUUGAAAACAGAAUAUGGU
rnacentral:lncRNA from 1 species